UGCAAAAUCUCGCGAAUAAUCAAGUUUUAGAAUGAAAGUUGCACCUGAAAUCGUCAGGCUGAGGGCACACCUGCCUGGGUGUCACGCAAUGUCGCCACCCUGCCUCUCCCCGAUGGGGACGACAUGGGGAGGUGGAUAUUGGCCUCCCGUGCGCUCCCGCUCGCGGUUGGCCCAAAACGCAGCCCCCCGGCGACGGCAGCCACGGCACGCGGUGGUCGAAAGCGCCAGCUCCUCGGAAACCGCCGUGGCGAGCCCCGUCGGCGCGGGGCCGAAGGCCCCGACGCGAGCGUCCUCACGAAGCGACCCCAGGUCAGGCGGGAACACCCGCUGAGUUUAAGCAUAUCAAUAAGCGGAGGAAAAGAAACUUACGAGGAUUCCCCUAGUAACGGCGAGCGAACCGGGAAGAGCCCAGCUUGAGAAUCGGUCGCCCUCGGCGUCCGA
rnacentral:rRNA from 1 species